rnacentral:tRNA from 1 species
CAGAGGAUAGUUUAUAAAAAAUUUUAAUUUUGGAGAUUAAAGAUAGAAUAAAUUUUCUUUCUCUGA